UACGAGUGCCUCAAGCGUUAUCCGGAAUCAUUGGGCGUAAAGGUUGUGUAGGUGGUUAUAUUAGUCUUUUGUUAAAUUCUUCGGCUUAACCGGGGGCAUGCAAAGGAAACGGUAUGACUAGAGGAUGCGAGGGGGUCUGCGGAACUCAUAGUGUAGCGGUAAAAAUGCGUUGAUAUUAUGGGGGAACACCAAAAGCGAAGGCAGCAGACUGGAGCACUCCUGACACUGAAACAAGAAAGCGUGGGUCGCGAAAUGGG
rnacentral:rRNA from 1 species